AUUGAACGCUGGCGGCAGGCCUAACACAUGCAAGUCGAGCGGAUGAAGGGAGCUUGCUCCUGGAUUCAGCGGCGGACGGGUGAGUAAUGCCUAGGAAUCUGCCUGGUAGUGGGGGAUAACGUCCGGAAACGGGCGCUAAUACCGCAUACGUCCUGAGGGAGAAAGUGGGGGAUCUUCGGACCUCACGCUAUCAGAUGAGCCUAGGUCGGAUUAGCUAGUUGGUGGGGUAAAGGCCUACCAAGGCGACGAUCCGUAACUGGUCUGAGAGGCUGAUCAGUCACACUGGAACUGAGACACGGUCCAGACUCCUACGGGAGGCAGCAGUGGGGAAUAUUGGACAAUGGGCGAAAUCCUGAUCCAGCCAUGCCGCGUGUGUGAAGAAGGUCUUCGGAUUGUAAAGCACUUUAAGUUGGGAGGAAGGGCAGUAAGUUAAUACCUUGCUGUUUUGACGUUACCAACAGAAUAAGCACCGGCUAACUUCGUG
rnacentral:rRNA from 1 species